AAUUCUCAAUCUCUACAACUUUGUGUUGUCUAGAUUGGAAGUGGGGGCUCUUGUGUGGAAUCUAAUUCCUCACUCCCCUUAAAUGUAUUAGCUGGAAUGCCUCUGCAUAUCUGACUAUCAGUGUGAUAAUUAUCUAUACUGUAGUUGUUGCUCGAGGGUAUCUGCUUCAUCAAUCGUCGAAAGACAAUUCUAUAUGACCA
rnacentral:misc_RNA from 1 species